AACGAACGCUGGCGGCGUGGAUAAGACAUGCAAGUCGGACGAGAUUUUUCGUUGUAGCAAUAUGGUGGGAAGUUUAGUGGCGAACGGGUGCUUAACACGUGGGCAACCUGCCAGGAAGUGGGGGAUAGCUCGCCGAAAGGCGAAUUAAUACCGCAUGUGAUUAGAGAGGACAUCCUUUCGAAAUUAAAGUCGGGGCAACCUGACGCUUCUUGUGGGGCCCGCGGCCUAUCAGCUAGUUGGUGGGGUAACGGCUCACCAAGGCUUUGACGGGUAGCUGGUCUGAGAGGACGACCAGCCACACUGGGACUGAGACACGGCCCAGACACCUACGGGUGGCAGCAGUCGAGAAUUUUUGACAAUGGGGGAAACCCUGAUCGAGCGACGCCGCGUGGAGGAUGAAGGUCUUCGGAUUGUAAACUCCUGUCAUUGGGGAACAAUGCGUGACGGUUAACUGCCGUCGCGUUGAUAGUACCCGAAGAGGAAGAGACGGCUAACUCUGUGCCAGCCGCCGCGGUAACAC
rnacentral:rRNA from 1 species